rnacentral:lncRNA from 1 species
GAAGCAGUAAGAAAGUGAGGAGCAGUCCAGCCAAGCUAAGAGGCCGUGAGGAAACAAGCCUGGGCAAGGCCAUUGUGAGCUCUUCUCUUGAGUGCAGUCAAGAUUGUUGUACAGUCUCGUUGGUUUUUUUUUCUUGUUCUUUGGGGACACUUUUAAAGCAGCUCAGCCUCUCCUCGGAGCAUUAAUAAUUGUUUGGGAUGUUGCUUUAAAAAAAAAAAUAAUGGAAUAAUGGCUAGCUAGCACAUCCAAAUAACUUCUAAAUUGGAGUGAUUGGUGCCAAGCAUAUCAGUAUUAAGCCAAAAACCCAAGCCUUGGAAAACAGAUCGCUCAGCUAGUUGAUGUAUAUUCAUUAAUUUUUAUGGGAGUAGGGAGAAGGCAGUGCACAAAUGGAAGUGAAUUUUUGUUUAUGGUUUCUGAAUACAAAUAUUGAAAUGGGGCUGGUUUUGUUUCAUUGUUAAAUUCCAGGCUUUUUUUCAAAAACACACUCUUAGUCCCAGCAAAGAUUUGGAGAAACAAUAGCUAGCUUGAUUUAUCAUCUUUUGCGUGCACAGCUGUGGAUGGGAAGGGAAGAUCUGUUUUGGCAUCGAAGGCCUUGAGCUCUGCUAACUUUAAGCCAUUUUAAGAAUAAUUCCUGGUUACUAAUCUGUGUGUGAGUAAAUUCAGAGCUCCUCGAAAGUUGGAAAGGUUGAGUUCAGCCUGGAAGUCGGUUCCAAGCUUGGGACUGCCUCACUGUGUGUUGUCUUCCCGUUGCUUAGCACUGCCUCUUUCACAGCAGCUUCAUGGCAGGAUUGCAGGACCACAUGUAGAGCAGGCUGCAAAUAGCAGCUCGCAGGGAAUAAGUCAGCCUCAGAAGGGUUUUCCCUGUUCUCUGAAAGCCUUCACUGCAUAGUGACACACGUUUUGUGUAGUGGCCGUACCUUCAUCUCGUGUGAAGUGGCCAUGGGAGCAGGAGGGACGUUCCUAAUUCACCUCAUGUGCAGGGAAGUGCAAAGAGGUGUGACCCAGCUCUCCCAGGCCUAGAGAAAUGGGGAUGCUGCUUUCGGCACCCAGCACAGACUGCCUCCAGAGUGUCUUCCUCAGCAGCAGCUGCAGGGAGAGACAUACAGCAAGGACGGAUGCAUACUGAGGGAACCUGAGCAACAGGAAACCUGUGUUUAUCAGCAUUUUUAGCUUGCUUCAUGCAUCACUAAUCGUGGAAAUGGAACACAUCAAAAAAAGAUGAGAGCUCUGCCAUCAGAUUCACCGGAGCUCUAACACGCUGUGAGAUGUUCCUGUGGGAAGUUCCCAUCCACCUCUUUACCUCGCAGAGAUACAGGAGCUUAUCCACCCACAACAGCCACAAAGACAGAACUGUUUUCAAGAUGUAAAUCGUUUCCUGUGUAUUAGAUCCUACUGGAGAUGUCGUUGGUCCAAAGAUUUGAGACUUUGGGGUGUUCCAUCUCUGUUCCAUCUGCAAUCUGAAUAAAUGACUUUGGUUUUCUGUGCAUUGUUGGUUCUUCCCCUACAUCAAUAGAAAGGAAUGAGUGCUUACAAUAUGCUACAAAUGAGUCAUUUCUAAACAGUAUAUGUUUUGCCAAACAAGUUCUUUCUUCUUCUCCCCUCCACUUUUGUGCUAAUAACAAGUUACACUUUGCUACUUCUUUAAAUUUUCUUUCUCCAUGUUUUUUCCAUCAUGAAUUCUGCUUAGACUGGCCUCUGUGCACUGCAGCCUUAUAAAAUAUAUUUCCCUUUUAAGCUCCAAAGAGCUGGAAGUGUGUAAAUGAGUGCUUCUGCAUGCCCAAAGGGCUAUUUUAUGGUUUGAGUAACCACUGCCCUGGGGCUGAAAGUCC